CUCUUCUUGUUUGUUUAUUUGAAGUAUGACCUGCCCACUGAUUUUAUUAAAGGGCCGCGGUAUCUUGACCGUGCAAAGGUAGCAUAAUCAUUAGUUCUUUAAUUGUGAGCUGGUAUGAAUGGUUUGACGAGAUACUUACUGUCUUUGGUUUAAGAUUUAUUGAACUUGGUAUUUGGGUAAAAAUACCUAAAUUUUUUUAUGGGACGAGAAGACCCUAUAGAGUUUUAUAUAGUAAAUAUUCUUUUGGUUUGUUGUAUUUUGGGGUAUUUGUUGUAUUUUGUUGGGGUGAUGGGAGGAUAAAUGUAACUCUUCUUUUUUAUUUUCACUUAUUUGUGUUUUUGUGAUCCUUUAUUAUUGAUUAUAAGAUCAAAUUACCUUAGGGAUA
rnacentral:rRNA from 1 species